rnacentral:tRNA from 1 species
CCGUCGAUAGCUCAAUUGUUAGAGCGGGAGACUUAGAAUCUCUAGGUCGCUGGUUCCGAAUCCGGCUCGACGGA